rnacentral:rRNA from 1 species
CCUACGGGAGGCAGCAGUUAAGAAUAUUCCGCAAUGGACGAAAGUCUGACGGAGCGACGCCGCGUGGAUGAAGAAUGCCGAAAGGUUGUAAAAUCCUUUUAAGCCUGAGGAAUAAGCGCAGGAGGGAAUGCCUGAGCGGUGACAGUAGGGCUUGAAUAAGCACCGGCUAAUUACGUGCCAGCAGCCGCGGUAACACGUAAGGUGCGAGCGUUGUUCGGAAUUAUUGGGCGUAAAGGGCAUGUAGGCGGAAAUGCAAGCUUGAUGUGAAAUACCGGAGCUCAACUUCGGAAUUGCAUUGAGAACUGCGUAUCUUGAAUUACUGAAGGGUAACCGGAAUUCCACGUGUAGGGGUGAAAUCUGUAGAUAUGUGGAAGAACACCAAUGGCGAAGGCAGGUUACCGG